rnacentral:misc_RNA from 1 species
GAAAUGCGAUAAGUAGUGUAAAUUAUAGAAUUUAGUAAAUCAUCAAAUCUUUAAACGCACAUUGCGCCCCUCAGUAUUCCGUAGGGCAUGCCUGUUUAAGUGUCAUCUACACCCUCAAGCUCUGCUUAGUGUUGGGCGUCUGUCCCGCCUUCGCGCGUAGACUCGCCCCAAAUGCAUUGGCAGCGGUCCUUGCCCCCUCCCGCGCAGCACAUUGCGCUUCUCAAGGCUGCAGCGGCCCGCGUCCAAUAAGCUAAACCCCCCCGUCUUUGACCUCGGAUCAGGUAGGGAUACCCGCUGAACUUAAGC